rnacentral:rRNA from 1 species
AGUGGCGGACGGGUGAGUAACACGUAAGAAUUUACCUUUAGGAGGGGGACAACAAUUGGAAACGAUUGCUAAUACCCCAUAUGCUUUCGAGUGAAACGGAUUUAUCCGCCUAUUGAGAAGCUUGCGGCUGAUUAGCUUGUUGGUAAGGUAAUGGCUUACCAAGGCGACGAUCAGUAUCUGGUUUGAGAGGAUGAUCAGACACACUGGAACUGAGACACGGUCCAGACUCCUACGGGAGGCAGCAGUGGGGAAUUUUCUGCAAUGGGCGAAAGCCUGACAGAGCAAUACCGCGUGAGGGAUGACAGUCCUAUGGAUUGUAAACCUCUUUUUUCAGGGAGGAAGUUCUGACGUUACC